AUUGAACGCUGGCGGCAGGCCUAACACAUGCAAGUCGAGCGAGAGGCGGACGGGUGAGUAACGUCUGGGAAACUGUCCGAUGGAGGGGGAUAACUACUGGAAACGGGAGCGAAAACCGCAUAUCACCAGAUGUGCCCAGAUGGGAUUAGCUAGUGGGUGGGGUAACGGCUCACCUAGGCGACGAUCCCUAGCGGGUCUGAGAGGAGGACCAGCCACACUGGAACUGAGACACGGUCCAGACUCCUACGGGAGGCAGCAGUGGGGAAUAUUGCACAAUGGGCGCAAGCCUGAUGCAGCCAUGCCGCGUGUGUGAAGAAGGCCUUCGGGUUGUAAAGCACUUUCAGCGGGGAGGCGUUACCCGCAGAAGAAGCACCGGCUAACUCCGUGCCAGCAGCCGCGGUAAUUC
rnacentral:rRNA from 1 species